rnacentral:rRNA from 1 species
UUGAACGCUGGCGGCAUGCCUUACACAUGCAAGUCGAACGGCAGCACGGGAGUAAUCCUGGUGGCGAGUGGCGAACGGGUGAGUAAUACAUCGGAACGUGUCCUGUAGUGGGGGAUAGCCCGGCGAAAGCCGGAUUAAUACCGCAUACGAUCUACGGAAGAAAGCGGGGGAUCCUUCGGGACCUCGCGCUAUAGGGGCGGCCGAUGGCAGAUUAGCUAGUUGGUGGGGUAAAGGCCUACCAAGGCGACGAUCUGUAGCUG